UACGGGGGGGGUAAGCGUUGUUCGGAAUUACUGGGCGUAAAGGGCUCGUAGGCGGCCAACUAAGUCAGACGUGAAAUCCCUCAGCUUAACUGGGGAACUGCGUCUGAUACUGGAUGGCUUGGAUCCGGGAGAGGGAUGCGGAAUUCCAGGUGUAGCGGUGAAAUGCGUAGAUAUCGGGAGGAAGGCCGGUGGCGAAGGCGGCGCUCUGGAACAUUUCUGACGCUGAGGCUCGAAAGCGUGGGGAGCAAACAGG
rnacentral:rRNA from 1 species